CCAGCAGCCGCGGUAAUUCCAGCUCCAAUAGCGUAUAUUAAAGUUGUUGCAGUUAAAAAGCUCGUAGUUGAAUUUCUGUCUGGGACGUCCGGUCCGCUUCCUCUGGAAGUGUGUACUAAAGGACGUUCGAGGCAUUUUUUGUGAGUCUGCCUUUCUGCCAUUAAGUUGGUGGGUUGGUGGGUUUGCAUCGUUUACUGUGAAAAAAUUAGAGUGUUUAAAGCAGGCGUUGAGUCUCCUAAAUACAUUAGCAUGGAAUAAUAAGAUAUGGCCUUGGUGGUCUAUUUUGUUGGUUUGCACACCAGGGUAAUGAUUAAUAGGGACAGUUGGGGGUAUUCAUAUUUCAG
rnacentral:rRNA from 1 species